rnacentral:tRNA from 1 species
GCGGCUGUAUCUCAGUGGAUAGAGUAUUGGCCUCCGAAGCCAAGGGUCGUGGGUUCGAUCCCCGCCAGCCGCACCA